ensembl:lncRNA
AAUUCCUUCAUGAUUUGUAAAAAUAGUUGUAUGGGUUACUGAUUCAGCCUGCCCACCAAGAGAAAGUCUGCAGUGUGCACUAAACAUUGGUAAGCUGCAAAGGACACACAUGAGUCAGAAGUACUACCAAUUCUGUUACUACAGACUUUUAAAAAGACCUAGGCAUCUUAGGAGUAAACAUCACUGGAAUGUUCCUGGAUUUCAGCACUUUUCAAACUUUUGUUUCUUGAGUGCACCUACAGACAUUUUUUUAAGUGUUUGAGGCCUACAUGAAACCAACAAAGGCUGUGCUGUGCUUCUUAGAUAGAGUCUUGGAAAUGAAAAGGCUAAGAUAAAAUGUCAUCCAAACAAGGUAAUGCUGUAUCACAGACCCGAAGUUUCUAGUGAACAUUUUGCAAGAUAGUUAAUAUGACAGUGAUGUCCAGCCUUGUUACUCCCAUCUAAGAAUUUCUCAAGAUAACACUGACCUUUAUAUUAAUGCCAGAACUGUGCUAGCUAUUAAUUGCUUCCAAGAGUUUUACAAAACUUCUAAAUCUAGUCCUGAUGUGGAGUGUAGUAUCUCCAUCUAGAUCGCUGACUUUUAGUAUUUGCUGUGGGUUCUCUGAUUUAUUACCACUUUAAUAUCUAACAUAUGCAAAAACAUGUAAUGUCUUUCACUCCCCACAUUAUUGUGAUCUGGAUUUAAUUCUGCAUUUGGCAAAGGUACUCAAGAGGUGUCUGCUCUAUUUUUUAUUUGCUUUUUCAUACUUGAAUCUCAAACUGGAGAAAAAUACAGAGACAGCAUCUCUGACUUCUCAGCUUGAUAAGCCAAUGUUUAAUGAGUUAUGUUAAAAAUCUCUUUCUAGUACUAAAAAAAAAGAAAAAAAACCACCACAGAUUCAAAUACACAGAACAAAUAUUUUUCAAACCUACAUCUCAAGAGAAACCCAAACUCCAUAGUCUACCAUGGCAGAUUUGUCCAAGAAAGUCUUAUUUCUCUGUACAGCCUACAACAGAUUCCUUCAACUGGCCUUUUUCCAACACUGCAUUCCCUAUCUCAGUGUAAAUUGUCUGAGGCAGCCAAGAGAGAUGGACUCUACUUACCUGCAUUUUCACAGUGAUCCACGGAAGAGACCAUUUGCUGAUAGAGUGACCAUAGCACCAGCUCAUAUUCCUUCUGAAGAUGUUCUUCUUCUGAAGUGUUUCACCCUGACAUCAGUCCCUGCUAGUUCUGCUGAUAAAUGGUCAUGGGUGAGCUCUCCACAAAUCAGUAACAUGUCAAACAGGAUGCAGGUAUGAGGAAGCUAGAGGAGAAGGAGAGAGCUUUGUCAGAAAGAAGACUUCUGUAUUGUAUUACAAUUGAGCAGAGAGUUGAGGAUUAGUUCAGCAAAGUGGUGGUGACGCUGCCAACUAAAAACAGCUUGUGAUCACUGCUGAGGAAGAUUCUGAGCAUGAUUUCUUCUGAAGAAGGAGGAGAGACAUUACCCUGAAAACUUAGGAAAAAGUUCUUCACCGAAUGGGUGAUUAGGCACUGAAACAGGCCUCCUGGGGCAACAGGCUUUGUGGAGUUCAAGAAGUAUUUGGACAACGCUCUCAGGCAGGCGGCUUGAUUUUUUGUGGUACUGUGAGGAUUUGGACUCAAUGAUCCUUGAGCUUCUCUUCCAAUUCAGAGUAUUCUAUGAUUCCGUGAUUCCUCCAAAACAUCCCUAGAUUUUUCAUUUCUCAAAGGAGGUGUAAAAGACAAAAAAAUAUAACAUGUCUUGUGCACACCUAAGUAUUAUAGAAAAUCCACAAGGAGAUGUUCUGCAAUAGCAACCUGAAAGUGAAAAUGAGUUCAGCUAUAAAAUGUCAGCCAAAAGCUCCUUUUGACAGAGCUCCCAUGAGAGAACUAGUAAGGAAAAGUUAUUCACUGUAUGAGACUAGACAGCAUACAAGGAGGCUUUCCAUCCACUCGUAACACUGCAGUGUAGGCACAAAAUUUAUUUUUAUUUCCUUAUUUGACCCCUUAAACUGACUGCCUUUGGUAAUAUCCUCUAGUCAGGAUUUCGAAGUCAUUGGACUCUUCUUCAGAUUUCUUCCUGUGAUUUGGACAGAUCAAUAUGCUGUGCUCACAGAAUAGCUUAACUCAGGAGAGAAUUUUUAUUCCAAGCCAGAAACGAGAUUGAUUUGGUAGUUGUGAUACUUUAAUGUUAAAUGAAGUCACAAUUCUGCCUGGUUUGGCCUAGUUCCUGACAAGAGGGCGAGGGGACUCAUGGACCCAUGCCCCAGGAAAGAGGGAAGGGGGAAAGGGAAAAGGUAAAAGUUUUAGAAAAACAGCAACAACAAACUAAGGGAAAAAAAAAACUUGAUUUACUAAAUAUUAUAGCAGAAUGUGAGAUGCUGCAAUAUAAUAUGAUUGAAAUUAAAGCAAAGAAAUCAAAUAAAAUGAGAGAGUUUCCAAAAGUGAAGUCCUUA